AUUGAACGCUGGCGGCAGGCCUAACACAUGCAAGUCGAACGGUAACAGGAAACAGCUUGCUGUUUCGCUGACGAGUGGCGGACGGGUGAGUAAUGUCUGGGAAACUGCCUGAUGGAGGGGGAUAACUACUGGAAACGGUAGCUAAUACCGCAUAACGUCGCAAGACCAAAGAGGGGGACCCUCGGGCCUCUUGCCAUCGGAUGUGCCCAGAUGGGAUUAGCUUGUUGGUGGGGUAACGGCUCACCAAGGCGACGAUCCCUAGCUGGUCUGAGAGGAUGACCAGCCACACUGGAACUGAGACACGGUCCAGACUCCUACGGGAGGCAGCAGUGGGGAAUAUUGCACAAUGGGCGCAAGCCUGAUGCAGCCAUGCCGCGUGUAUGAAGAAGGCGUUCGGGUUGUAAAGUACUUUCAGCGGGGAGGAAGGGAGUAAAGUUAAUACCUUUGCUCAUUGACGUUACCCGCAGAAGAAGCACCGGCUAACUCCGUG
rnacentral:rRNA from 1 species